rnacentral:rRNA from 1 species
CGGCGGACGGGUGAGUAACGCGUGGGUAACCUGCCUCAUACAGGGGGAUAACAGUUAGAAAUGACUGCUAAUACCGCAUAAGCGCACAGGACCGCAUGGUCAAGUGUGAAAAACUCCGGUGGUAUGAGAUGGACCCGCGUCUGAUUAGUUAGUUGGUGGGGUAACGGCCCACCAAGGCGACGAUCAGUAGCCGGCCUGAGAGGGUGAACGGCCACAUUGGGACUGAGACACGGCCCAAACUCCUACGGAAGGCAGCAG